UACGUAGGGGGCAAGCGUUGUCCGGAAUCAUUGGGCGUAAAGCGCGUGUAGGCGGCCCGGUAAGUCCGCUGUGAAAGUCCAGGGCUCAACCCUGGAAUGCCGAUGGAUACUGUCGGGCUCGAGUCCGGAAGAGGCGAGUGGAAUUCCUGGUGUAGCGGUGAAAUGCGCAGAUAUCAGGAGGAACACCGAUGGCGAAGGCAGCUCGCUGGGACGGUACUGACGCUGAGACGCGAAAGCGUGGGGAGCAAACAGG
rnacentral:rRNA from 1 species